AUUUGACGUUACCUACAGAAGAAGCACCGGCUAACUCCGUGCCAGCAGCCGCGGUAAUACGGAGGGUGCGAGCGUUAAUCGGAAUUACUGGGCGUAAAGCGCAUGCAGGCGGCCUGUUAAGUCAGAUGUGAAAGCCCGGGGCGUUAACCUCGGAAUUGCAUUUGAAACUGGCAGGCUAGAGUCUUGUAGAGGGGGGUAGGAAGUUUCAGGUGUAGCGGUGAAAUAGCGUAGAGAUCUGAAGGAAUACCAGUGGCGAAGGCGGCCCCCUCGGACAAAGACUGACGCUCAGAUGCGAAAGCGUGGGGAGCAAACAGGAUUAGAUACCCUGGUAG
rnacentral:rRNA from 1 species